ACGUAGGUGGCGAGCGUUGUCCGGAAUCACUGGGCGUAAAGGGCGCGUAGGCGGUUUAGCAAGUCGCAUGUGAAAUACCAGAGCUUAACUUUGGGGGGGCAUGCGAAACUGCUGGACUUGAGUGCAGUAGAGGUAAGCGGAAUUCCAGGUGUAGCGGUAAAAUGCGUUGAGCCCAGGAGGAACACCGGUGGCGAAGGCGUCUUACUGGGCUGCAUCUGACGGUGAGGAGCGAAAGCGGGGGGAGCAAACAG
rnacentral:rRNA from 1 species